rnacentral:rRNA from 1 species
UACGUAGGGGGCAAGCGUUGUCCGGAAUUAUUGGGCGUAAAGCGCGCGCAGGCGGUCAUUUAAGUCUGGUGUUUAAGGCCAAGGCUCAACCUUGGUUCGCACUGGAAACUGGGUGACUUGAGUGCAGAAGAGGAGAGUGGAAUUCCACGUGUAGCGGUGAAAUGCGUAGAUAUGUGGAGGAACACCAGUGGCGAAGGCGACUCUCUGGGCUGUAACUGACGCUGAGGCGCGAAAGCGUGGGGAGC